GAUGAAGAACGUAGCGAAAUGCGAUAAGUAAUGUGAAUUGCAGAAUUCAGUGAGUCAUCGAAUCUUUGAACGCACCUUGCGCCCUUUGGCCAUUCCGAAGGGCAUGCCUGUUUGAGUAUCAUGAACACCUCAACUCUUCAUGGUUUUCCAUGAUGAGCUUGGACUUUGGGGGUCUUGCUGGCCUGUGGGUCGGCUCCUCUCAAAUGAAUCAGCUUGCCGGUUUUUGGUGGGCAUCACAGGUGUGAUAACUAUCUACGCUUGUGGUUUUCCACCAGGGUAACCUUCAGCAGUGGAGGUUCACUGGAGCUUACAAAUGUCUCUCCUCUGUGAGGACAGCCCUUUGAAUGUUUGAUCUCAAAUCAGGUAGGACUACCCGCUGAACUUAAGCAUAUCAAUAAGCGGAGGA
rnacentral:misc_RNA from 1 species